rnacentral:rRNA from 1 species
UGACGCUGGCGGCGUGCUUAACACAUGCAAGUCGAACGAUGAAACCUAGCUUGCUAGGUGGAUUAGUGGCGCACGGGUGAGUAAUAUAUAGGUAAUGUGCCUCUUAGUCUGGGAUAGCCAUUGGAAACGAUGAUUAAUACUGGAUACUCCUUCUAACUCUAAUGUUAGUCGGGAAAGUUUUUCGCUAAGAGAUCAGCCUAUAUCCCAUCAGUUAGUUGGUAAGGUAACGGCUUACCAAGGCAAUGACGGGUAGCGGGUUUGAGAGGAUGAUCCGCCACACUGGUACUGAGACACGGACCAGACUCCUACGGGAGGCAGCAGUGAGGAAUAUUGCACAAUGGGGGAAACCCUGAUGCAGCAACGCCGCGUGGAGGAUGACGCAUUUCGGUGUGUAAACUCCUUUUAUAUGUCAAGAAAAUGACGGUAGCAUAUGAAUAAGCACCGGCUAACUCCGUGCCAGCAGCCGCGGUAAUACGGAGGGUGCAAGCGUUACUCGGAAUCACUGGGCGUAAAGGACGCGUAGGCGGAUUGGAAAGUCAGAUGUGAAAUCCUACAGCUUAACUGUAGAACUGCAUUUGAAACUUCUAAUCUAGAGUAUGGGAGGGGGAGAUGGAAUUAGUGGUGUAGGGGUAAAAUCCGUAGAUAUCACUAGGAAUACCGAAAGCGAAGGCGAUCUCCUGGAACAUUACUGACGCUAAGGCGUGAAAGCGUGGGGAGCAAACAGGAUUAGAUACCCUGGUAGUCCACGCCCUAAACGAUGAACACUAGUCGUCGGGAUGCUUGUCAUCUCGGUGAUGCACUUAACAGAUUAAGUGUUCCGCCUGGGGAGUACG